rnacentral:rRNA from 1 species
UGGUUCCGGCCCUGAAGAAGCCCCGGAGACGCGGAACCUGCGGAAGGAUCAUUA